UACGUAGGUGGCAAGCGUUGUCCGGAAUUAUUGGGCGUAAAGCGCGCGCAGGCGGCCUCUUAAGUCUGAUGUGAAAGCCCCCGGCUCAACCGGGGAGGGCCAUUGGAAACUGUAAGGCUUGAGUACGGGAGAGGUGAGUGGAAUUCCCAGUGUAGAGGUGAAAUGCGUAGAGAUGUGGAGGAACACCAGUGGCGAAGGCGACUCUUUGGCCUAUAACUGACGCUGAGGCGCGAAAGCGUGGGGAGCAAACAGG
rnacentral:misc_RNA from 1 species